UACGAAGGGGGCUAGCGUUGCUCGGAAUCACUGGGCGUAAAGGGCGCGUAGGCGGCAAUUCAAGUCAUCUGUGAAAUCUCCGGGCUUAACUCGGAACGGUCAGAUGAUACUGCUUUGCUAGAGUGCAGAAGGGGCAAUCGGAAUUCUCGGUGUAGCGGUGAAAUGCGUAGAUAUGCGGAGGAACACCGAUGGCGAAGGCAAUCCCCUGGGCCUGCACUGACGCUCAUGCACGAAAGCGUGGGGAGCAAACAGG
rnacentral:rRNA from 1 species